AUGACCAAAAAAAAAAGGGGGGAAGAAGAAACAAGUCAUACCAAAAAAGGCCACAGGCAUGUGCAGGCAACUCAUUCUAUGAAUCAUUCUGUGAAUUGUACGUGGUUUAUGUCCAAGGACAAAGCCAUAAAGAAGUUCCAAACUACCAUCGGGGACAUUUUCAAAUUGAGUGUCUUUGAUGCUUCUGUGAUUCCCAAAAGGGCUCUGUCAAGCUGCACUACCCAGGGAUCAGUGACAUUCAUAGCAAGGUAGUCAAGAAUUGAUCUCGUGAAGCUGGAAGGACCUAACACCCCCCACCAUGACUUAGGCCAGCUGGUGCUGCCCCUAGACCUCCAUCAAAGCCCAUAG
rnacentral:lncRNA from 1 species